rnacentral:sRNA from 1 species
AUUGUCAUGGCUUUGGUGCUGCUGCCUGGCACUGCCCUCUGGUGUUAAAAAUGGGCAGGAUCUGGACCACUUGCAGCUUCUUGGGGGCUCCUGCUAGUCUUUCGGGCUGCUGGGUGCUACCUGGGAGUUCAGUCUGUUCUUGGCUCUGGCCAGACUCUAGUGACUACUGAGGUGACCUCCAGGGAGAGGGAUAUUCAGCCUUCCCGGCCGCACACAACAAGGUGCCAUGGGGUGGGCAUGCCUAGGUGCUUAUAGACUCCUCUGCUGCUCACAGAUGCAUCAGGUGACCCUGGAAGCCCUGUUCUGGGCCUUGGGUUCCCCUUCUGAUGGCCAGGGUCCCUUCCAACCCAGUCGACAAACUGAGUAUUUCUGCAGCAGACACCUCUACCUGUGUGUGACCCUGCAGGCGGGGUUGUGGGGAAGAAGAGAAUGGACACAUUGGUGAAGGGAUGGGGCAGUGGGCCCAGAAACACACACCUGCCCAUGUCUGGCCCCUCCUUUCCCACUCAGCUGUGAGCUCCCGAAGGACCAGGCAGUAGACAGUGAGUGGUGGGCACGUAGGAGUCCAUCCUAUUCACUGCGACCCUCCUUUCCUGGCCCCCGUGCCUGGCUGGGCUCUGCCUGUCUGGGAUGAUGCCAUUCCUCCCUUGCCCUCGGCAGGUGGAGGGCCAGUCUCCUGGAGCAGCCUCCUGGCCCUCUGGGAGCUUCUGUCUUACCCAUUCCUCUGUCCUCCCGUGUUGGGUCUGUAGGGGUAGAAGAUAAGGAGUCUUGGCAUGGGAAGCCCCUCCCCAAAAACAUGGCUGAGCAGAUCAUCCAGGAGAUCUACAGCCAGAUCCAGAGCAAAAAGAAGAUCCUGGCAACCCCUCCACAGGAGGACGCACCCUCAGUGGACAUUGCCAACAUCCGCAUGCCCAGCCUGCCCAGCUACAAAGUUGGGGACAAGAUAGCCACCCGCAAGGCCUACGGGCAGGCACUGGCCAAGCUGGGCCAUGCCAGUGACCGCAUCAUCGCCCUGGAUGGGGACACCAAAAAUUCCACCUUCUCGGAGAUCUUCAAAAAGGAGCACCCGGACCGCUUCAUCGAGUGCUACAUUGCCGAGCAGAACAUGGUGAGCAUUGCGGUGGGCUGUGCCACCCGCAACAGGACGGUGCCCUUCUGCAGCACUUUUGCAGCCUUCUUCACGCGGGCCUUUGACCAGAUUCGCAUGGCUGCCAUCUCCGAGAGCAACAUCAACCUCUGCGGCUCCCACUGCGGCGUUUCCAUCGGGGAAGACGGGCCCUCCCAGAUGGCCCUGGAAGAUCUGGCUAUGUUUCGGUCAGUCCCCACAUCAACUGUCUUUUACCCAAGUGAUGGCGUUGCUACAGAGAAGGCAGUGGAACUAGCCGCCAAUACGAAGGGUAUCUGCUUCAUCCGGACCAGCCGCCCAGAAAAUGCCAUCAUCUAUAACAACAAUGAGGACUUCCAGGUCGGACAAGCCAAGGUGAUCCUGAAGAGCAAGGAUGACCAGGUGACCGUUAUCGGGGCUGGGGUGACCCUGCACGAGGCCUUGGCCGCUGCCGAACUGCUGAAGAAAGAAAAGAUCAACAUCCGCGUGCUGGACCCCUUCACCAUCAAGCCCCUGGACAGAAAACUCAUUCUCGACAGCGCUCGUGCCACCAAGGGCAGGAUCCUCACCGUGGAGGACCAUUAUUACGAAGGUGGCAUUGGUGAGGCUGUGUCCAGUGCAGUAGUGGGCGAGCCUGGCAUCACUGUCACCCACCUGGCAGUUAACCGGGUACCAAGAAGUGGGAAGCCGGCUGAGCUGCUGAAGAUGUUCGGUAUCGACAAGGAUGCCAUUGCACAAGCUGUGAGAGGCCUCAUCACCAAGGCCUAGGGCGGGUAUGAAGUGUGGGGCGGGGGUCUAUACAUUCCUGAGAUUCUGGGAAAGGUGCUCAAAGAUGUACUGAGAGGAGGGGUAAAUAUAUGUUUUGAG